AAAAACAAAACCACCCAAAACAAAACAAACAAAACAAAUAACACCCCAAAAAACCAACCCCCCAAAAAACUAAAGAGGAGAGAAUUGGAAAAGGCUCAUGACUCAGCCUUUGUUCUAGUUCUGAUUUGUCCCAAAGCAGUGCAAGUUCCCAGGCUGGCCUCACAGGGCAGUGCAUUUCCAGCUGUGUGACGCAGAACGUGGAGGGCCAUGAAAAGCCACAUGAGAACUCAGAUACCCACACCCAACUGAGCUGAAAAGCAGCAGCCUUUGAAGAGAAGGUGACAGACACCGAGGAGCGAUGGCUGCCCCCCACCUCCCUCCCCUCCGCAGAGGUUCUGCCUAGAACCUCACUUGGCUUUCCACUGAAUUACUGAAAAAUGGAUAUUUAUUGUCCCCGUGGGGUGCAGCUGAGCAAGCUGCUGGGGCUCCGUGCAAGACGAAAAAUGCCUGUUGAAUGAACCAUGGUCCCGCCUUUUUUAUUUUUUUUCAUUAUUUUAAAAUUUUUUUUUUUAAGUUUAAUUGAAUGUGGGAGAGACAGGUUUGGAACUGCUUUUGGGUGAUGCAGAGGAACUUCUCUUAAGUAAUCUGGGGUGGUUCCAAAAGGCAUUCCAGUUCUCAGAAAAAUAGAUAUUACUAGUCAUUGCUUAUAUGCUGUGAGUUGAAAGAUUAAUAAUUUUCUCUGCCAAAGUUUGCAGGCAGCCUUUACCAUGACAGGGUAGAUCAAAUACAUGUUCUUGCCUGGGCAGCCGACCUGGUUUGAACUCAGUAAGUGUGGCUCUCAGUGGUGACUACAGUUUUGGAACAAAUACUCCGCUCUGCUUUUUAAAGCAGCCUUCCCCCCGUAAAGCAUUAACCAGACUCUCGAGGCCGUUCCAGGCACCUCGUGCCUUUGGUGCCUUGGCGAAUUAUUCAGACCCAGUAGGUGUAAGCAGCCAGAUGACAGAACUGGAUUGAGAUGAGAGAUAAGGGAAUAGCUGGCCUGUUUUUCAGUCAGACCUUCCCCUCAAUAAGGACAACUCCCAGCUGGUGCCAAUGGUAAAAACAACUUGAUCCUUCCGUUUAUUUCUCUGCACUCCAUUCCUCUUCCUUUUUCACUCUUGGCUUGCAUGCUGCAAAAAGAUAGUUUAGAAAUAGCUGUUCUUACAUGCUCAGGCUGUUAGAUUUUGGAAUUUGGCAUUGGUUUUACUGGAGACAGAAGAGCACCCACGAGCACAGAAUAAAGCAGCCCAUCCCCAGGCAGAGCUGCAUCAGAAGGGAGGAGUGAAAGGUACAGGAGCUGAGCAUCAUCCCCUCCUUAAUCAGAGUUUCUAUUGAAGUCAGUGACCCAGAUUUCCCUGACUUCAAAUGGCUGCUUUCAGAGAGCUUGCCGGAGGCAUGGUGCUGGGGAAGGUCAGGCAGAAUUUCGCCUGAAGAAUUCCACAUGCAUAGGCUUAUCAGCUCGGGAUCUGUACAGCUUGAUACUGCAAACCCGUGCUCUCCAGCGGGCUGUCUCACAGUCACUGAAGUGAUUGCUGCCCUGGGCUUCAGGCUUGCUAGCUGCCCUAAGCUCGGGAUUUCUUUCUGUGAUUAGUUCUAUGACAUCCACCUUGCUCCCAGGUUUCCCUCUCGAAAAAACAAAAUGCAGAAAGCACAGACCUGUUCUUAAUUGUAUGGGUUUAAAUUAUUAAGAACCCAGAAAUGUGAUAAACCUUUCUUAUCUUUGUCAGGAAAGCCCGACCUUCUGUGGAAGACUGCGAAAAUUCCUACAGACAAAAAUCAGGCUUCUAAACAGAAAGGUUCUCCAGGCAGAGGACUUUGCCUACAAGAACUGAGCACCCUGGUAGCCUCUCCCUGGCUCACGGAGCGAGGCUGUGACAGAGGAUGGCAGGAGCUAUUCUGAGCUCAGAAGUCCUCCCUAAUGUCACUUUCCUUUCAUUCAGGCACGGAUUCUCUUUUGUGUUCCACUAGCUGCUAUUGUCUUUUACAAAGAGAAUCUCAGCUGGGUUUUCUGCAGCAGAGCUGGCUCUGCUUGAGCCCUGUGUGCCAGCAGCCCCUGGUUUUAGGUGCUGUUUUACAGCUGUACAGAGGGGACACCCUGGCACCGGGCUAAUCCAUCGAAGCUUUGGGCUUUUCAAGAGCAGUGAAAUCCCCUGCAGCUCUGGAUCGCACCGAAGCAGAUGAGCUUUGCCGGCUCCCCGUGCCCCAGCGAGCGGACGGUGAUGUUUGUCUGCCUUGAGGGAUGCAGAACACUGACAGCGCUUCCACGGGGAUCAGCCUUGCUGGGAGCACAAGUGAGGCUUCCCUGGAAAUGUGGUACCAUUCCAAGUGCAGACUCCGGGGAGAAGUCUGCCAGCAGCCUUUUCCUCCUCCCCGCACCCCGACUCGUGAAUAAACACGGGCAGAGGGAGGAGAGGAGCAGCCGCCAGCAGGACCGCGUUGUACAGAGCUGUCACUGACCGCUCCCUUGGGGCUGCCCAGGCUUUGGGUGUCCCGGUGUCUCCGGGACGGGAAACAGAGCAGCCCAUGGCACUGCCGUGCUAAAGCAGCUCCCACCGAUUUUGGGUCACAUUAACAGCAAAUCUGGGCAUUUCUCUGCUCCCUCUGCUGCCCGGCUCCCAGCAUCAGCCGCGUCUGAUCUGCCUCCAAGGGGGGCUGGGAUCUGUUUGAAUCCCACUGUUACCCACGAUUUUAACACGUACUCCACCUCCCAACGUUGUGUGAACCGGCACAGGGCUAUCGUGUGCAAUAGUCUUAAAAUCCAGGCAAGUUAACUUUGAAGAAAAUCCCUGGUUAGGCAGUAGUUCCUGCUAGCAAUUACCAGGCUUUUAUCUGUAGCUGUCAGUGCGCUGUAAAAAGUGGCAGUUACUCCCAUUUUACAGAAGAAGCAGAUGUUCUAGGGACAUCUGAAUAGAUUUAAUGCAGAAAUUGCAUGCCUAAAAGGUGUUCUAGAAAAUCUCAUCAUUAUCACAUGACUGAUUUUAUUCAGUGCACCUAGGAAUUCAGAUCUGCUGGGUGUGCUUUGCUUCUCUUAUUUGUUUUAAAGCAAUAGUUCUGAAGUUUUCAUUUUGUUCCCCUGCUAUGGCAGAAGAAGAACUGGAAUGAGACUUUUUUCUUUUUUUUUUUUUCUUUUUUUUUCUUUUUUUUUGAGGAAAACUUUUGGGUAUGGAUUUAUUCAGAACUUCUUGAGGUUUAAUUUGGCUUUGUGAUCAAGAGGCACACAAGUCACAUUUGUGAAAUCCAAUUAGGCUCCAGCCCUGGCAGAGACACGACACGAGGCACGUACAUCCAUCUGAGUCCCUGUGCCUCCCUGCUUCUAAAGCCCUCAGCCUCCAUGGCAGAGCCGUGCUUCUUAUCUCAGGUAUUUCAAACUGUGCAGCUCAGCCAGGGCCCGAGACCUGCCCUGCCCCUGGAGAACUCCGUGCUCCUGCUGCUCCCAGAACUGUGGGGCUGGAAGGGAACAGGGAUGCAUUACCAGCCUUUGGAGUGAAAAUGAAAACAUCAGCAGGAGCCCCAGUGCUUUGCUUUCCUUGGAUCCUUUCUCUUUCCCAUAUAAGUGCUGUUAUUGUUGCAUUUCCAUUUCAGGCAAGAAACAUAAUUAUAUUUCUUUUUCCAUUUUUAAAUGAAUUCUCUUCACAUACAAGAGCAAGGAUAGUUCUUGAUAAUAAUAAUUGGACCACAGGGAACCACUGCCUGUGGGUAGCUGACAGGGUAUUUGACAGGAAAUGAAGACAUUUCUGAUCAGAGUGUAGCUUUUGGAGGUCAGGGGGAAAUAGUGACUUAUGUGAAACAGCAGCAAAACUACUGAUUUUUCAUGGUUUGCUUUUAGCCAAGAAGCCUAACAAUAAAGCCAAAACUCCCCAUCGUGACUGGCUGGAAAAAUUGCAUUCCUCCUCAUCAGGAUGAGGGGUCAUUUCAGCAACCUCCCUCUUGGAGCCCUCAGUGAAUGACAAGGAUCGUGUAGCUGCAGGUCAAUGUCUCUGUCAACAUCCUUCUUAAGGUGCAGGAAGAACACAGCCUAUGUGUGCUGUGGAAAAAUGCUGGACUAAAUUCUCUGGAGUCUUGAGUACUGCUGUAAACAGCAUAUUAUCUUGUAAUAAAAUAACUAAAAUAA